CAGUGUAUCUGUCCCUGGGCACUGUUUUAUAAAGUGCUCCAGGGACAAGGAGGCAUGCACAUCACGUCCACACCAUCAUGGGCAUGGUGCCCCAUGCCCACUUGCCCCCCACGCCACUACCUAGCUUAGGUAGUAAGCUAGCUCACCUAUAUAUAUGCCACCCAUCCAUCCAUCCACUAGAGGCCGACGGCCACACACUCCACCACGGCCAUGCCUAGCCACAAGAGCAUGCAUGCUCACUCCAGCCAUACACAUAUACAGAGUCAGAUGCCCGUGGCACUGAUCCCAGAUACAGUUCCAGGAGCACUUUGUACUGCCCGAUGUACAUCCUAGAUAUAUAUACUCAGACAUGCAGGAGUAGGGGUAUUAUCUCUCCGGAGAUCCCCGAACCUGGGUAAACUAGCGCGUGCUACUCGCAUACCCGCUCCCGGGCCUAUCAGCAGCAGUCUUACCCUCACACUAAGCCCUUGUGGCAUCUGUCGACUCGCAAGCCCCCCGUGAGAAUACCACGACAGUUGGCGCCCACCGUGGUGUGGUACUACUACUAUGCUACCACGCUGCUGCUGGUUUCGCAGUCCGGGCGGACCAUCUUCGCCAUCACCGCCGCGGCGUUGCGCCGUCUCUCCGGUAGCGCUCGGGGGCUCGACUUCGACCCGCCCCCGUAGCGGCCGCGCGGGACGGCGCGUCCUCGUCGUCGGCCUCGCCGCUUUCAUCAUAACCACAACCGCAACGCUGACCGUCCGUCCGCGCGCGCCGCGCGCGGGGCCUCGUUUCGGUUGGCCGUGGCCAUCCACGCGUCGCUCGCGUCCACUCCCCUCCAUGCUGCGCUUUGCUCCGGCCGGAACGGGCGUUCGCUACUCCAUAUAUCAUGUAUGCUAGCUAGCUAGAUUCUAGUCAAUAAUGGUCAAACCAUUAGCCAUACCACUACACAGAUACUACCCCGUACAUGCCCCAGAUAAUGGUCAUGUGGUGCGUGUACACUCACUGUACGCUCCUGGCCGCACAGGUCGUCACCGCUCAUGUCCCUGCAAGUCGAUGUGCUCGUGUCCUCGGCUGGGUCCGUUGCUGCCUUCGCCAGCAGCACUGCUGCAUACCUGUCUUCCGCCCGCGCCGCUGCGCCUUGCAUCCGCGUAGGCCUCUGUGCUCAUCAGCAACCACGCGCCCAGCCCCGAGCUGCUGCCUGCGGCAGCGCACCACCGCUCGCGGCCGUCGUCGGCUCCCCGUGCUGGCGCUGCUCCUCGCCGCCGUGCUCGCUCCGGUGCCGGACCGCGUCCCAGCAGCUGCUGCCGCUGCCGCACCUGCCUGUUGCUUCACCCGUCUCCGCACCAGCGCCGACCCUGGUCCUCCGCCUCCCGCGCUGCUCUGCCGGGCUCCGGAGCCACUGGCCGGCUGGUCCCCUCCGCCUCGCGGUCGCCUCCGCCUGCGCCCAGCCCUCGCGUCGUCAUGCUGCUCCGCCCCGCGCGCGCGGCCCCGCAUCGGCCGUCUCCGCAUCGCCCGUGCGCCCGCUAGGCCUGGGCCGGCUGUGGCUCCAAUCCUCGCCUCGGCAUCGCGCAUGCACGCGCGACCGACUCCUCCAGCUUCCACCACACCGUCCGCCUCGUCCCCGUGGCGUCUGGCCGCAUGGGUUCCGCUCCGCCUCACGCGCGCCCGCAGUCGGUCGCUCCGCCUCGCGCGCACCCGCAGUCGGCCGCGCCGGCCUCGCCUGCAUCCGCGGCGCCUCGCCCGCGUUCGCGGCUCCGCGCGCCGCGCCUCCCGGCCGGCUUCCACCAAGUCCGCGCGCCCCACGCCGCGCCCGCCUCCCGCGCCGAGUUCGGCCCCCUACCGUGUCGCCCGGCUCCACCAGCUUCACCCUGGCCGCAUCCGGCGCCGCUGGCCGGCUCCCGGCCACCUCCGCUGCCGGCCUCCGCGCCCCCGGCUGCUGCUGUGCCGCCUCCGCCGUCUGGCCUGCACCGGCUGUUCGGCUGCCCCCAGACUCCGCGCUGGCUACCGCCGCAUCCCGUCCGCCAGAUGGGCGCGCCAGCCGGCCCUCCGCGUCACCGGCUCGCUGCUAGCCGGCCGCCUGCCGGCUCCGAUUCCCUCCACUACAGCCCCCUCCUGUGGCCGACUGCUCGUCGAAAGAGAAGUGGGCGUCGGCUGCUCGUUUGGAGCCGGCGAAGAAAAGUCAAGGUCCGGCUGCCCUCGUGGAGACAGAGAAAGAGAAGAGUCGGGCCGACUGCUAGCAAAAGAAACAAAAAGAGUGGGAAGCCGACUGCCCACAGCCGACUGGCAGAAAAAAAUAUAGAGAAAAAGAAAUGGGGUCGGGUGGAGAGAUGCUGGCUGCCCAAGCCAGCAGAGGAAAGAAGGGACCGGCUCCCCGCGUGGAGUCGGACAGAAAGAGGAAAAUAAAUAAAUGAGAGAGAUGUGCGUUCAACUGCACGCAACCGGCUGGAAUAUGCGUCCGACUGCCAGAUGUGCGUCCGACCACUGACUGCCUGGCCGGCUGUAAAGAGCCCGACUCCUAUGCAGGAGUCCGCCUGCCCAGCCGGAUGAAGAAGAAAAAAGCACAAACUUCAAAAGAAGAAGACAAAGUAGUCGCCGGGAGAUCCGGCCUGACUGCUCAGCAGUCGGCCCGAAUCUCGGGGCUACACCCAGCGGAUGCGCUGACGCGCCCCCACGAGAAAGAAGACGAAGUAGUUGCCGGGAGAUCCGGCCCGACUGCUCAGCAGUCAGCCCGAAUCUCGGGGGCUACACCCAGUGGGUGCGCUGACGCGCCCCCACAGAAGAUUGCAAGAAACGAAAACAAGAGAAGAGUUUUGUCCGGCUGCCAGCAGCCGGCAGAAGAAGAAAAAGGGUGAUGCAAGACGCCUCGCCGCCUAGCCGGUCGAGCCUGACCGGCCGGGACCCCCCUUCGAGCGCCCGGGGGCUCGAAGGCCACACCCAGUGGGUGCGCCGGCUCUCUUCGGCAAACUCCACCUCGGCUACACGAAAAUCAAUGUGAGCUCCUCACCCGCAUGUUUUUGCACCGCGGAAGCACGGAUAACCUCGAGCGAUGCUCGAGGGGCCAUCUCCGCAUUUUAUUACAGUUGCAUCACUGUUCGCCCCGGCGCCAGCCAGAGUUGGCCCGGGGGCUGGCCGCUUGGCCUGAGACGUUAGUUCCCGCAGACGGCUUAGUAGCGUGCGCGGUACCAAAGGCCCACUCUUAGUCACAGACCGCAGAGCGGCUGUCCGGCUAGCAAGAGUGAACGCUGGAGGCCACCCAUGCGAAAAACGUCUGGGAAGAGAAACGCUUCGGGCGACCCGACCAUUUCCUUUACAAGUAUCAACUCGGUUGAAUUCGCUCCCAGAAUCUGAGUAUUGUACACUCCACUCCGCGGCCCACUCUCAGCCACAGACCGCAGAGUGGCUGUCCGGCAAGCGAGAGCAAGCCAAAGAGUGGAGGGAACAUGAAAGAGAUUGAAGGGGGCUCGGACGAAACCGAGUCGGCACCCUCCACAUAAAACUUGCAGUGUUAAAAGCAAUCAUUUGAUAUAUCUGCAUGGACUAACUUUGUCUUUUGCAUGAUCAUUUCCAUGAAACACCCGCCAAAAAACCUCCGCCCAAUUUUGCCAAGUUGCCCGGAGGCUUGGGGGCUACUGUCGGAGUAAUUGGCCACGGAUACCCCGAAGACGGCGAGACAAUAAUUCAAGACAUCGGGGCUAGCAAAGCCCCUCAGUCCGACUGCCCGGCCGCUCCUGCCGGCUCCCUGUCCGACUGCUCUGCCCGGCCGGCUGUCGGCUGCCUACUGCGCCAACCAGCCGGCUGCUGACUGCAGCCUGACCCGACACCGACAAGACACCAAUGUGACGGCCAUACCGCGGCCAAGACGGCUGUACAACGAUGACAUCAUCUACAGUGUAUCUGUCCAUGGGCACUGUUUUAUAAAGUGCUCCAGGGACAAGGAGGCAUGCACAUCACGUCCACACCAUCAUGGGCAUGGUGCCCCAUGCCCACUUGCCCCCAUGCCACUACCUAGCUUAGGUAGUAAGCUAGCUCACCUAUAUAUAUGCCACCCAUCCAUCCAUCCACUAGAGGCCGACGGCCACACACUCCACCACGGCCAUGCCUAGCCACAAGAGCAUGCAUGCUCACUCCGGCCAUACACAUAUACAGAGUUAGAUGCCCGUGGCACUGAUGCCAGAUACAGCUCCAUGAGCACUUUGUACUGCCCGAUGUACACCCUAGAUAUAUAUACUCAGACAUGCAGGAGUAGGGGUAUUAUCUCUCCGGAGAGCCCCGAACCUGGGUAAACUAGCGCGUGCUACUCGCAUACCCGCUCCCGGGCCUAUCAGCAGCAGUCUUACCCUCACACUAAGCCCUUGUGGCAUCUGUCGACUCGCAAGCCCCCCGUG
rnacentral:lncRNA from 1 species